GAUGAACGCUGGCGGCGUGCUUAACACAUGCAAGUCGAACGAUGAAGCCCAGCUUGCUGGGUGGAUUAGUGGCGAACGGGUGAGUAACACGUGAGUAACCUGCCCUUAACUCUGGGAUAAGCCUGGGAAACUGGGUCUAAUACCGGAUAGGAGCGUCCACCGCAUGGUGGGUGUUGGAAAGAUUUAUCGGUUUUGGAUGGACUCGCGGCCUAUCAGCUUGUUGGUGAGGUAAUGGCUCACCAAGGCGACGACGGGUAGCCGGCCUGAGAGGGUGACCGGCCACACUGGGACUGAGACACGGCCCAGACUCCUACGGGAGGCAGCAGUGGGGAAUAUUGCACAAUGGGCGCAAGCCUGAUGCAGCGACGCCGCGUGAGGGAUGACGGCCUUCGGGUUGUAAACCUCUUUCAGUAGGGAAGAAGCGAAAGUGACGGUACCUGCAGAGAAGCACCGGCUAACUACGUG
rnacentral:rRNA from 1 species